rnacentral:ncRNA from 2 species
UUUAAUCUUCAGGGCAGGGUGAAAUUCCCGAUCGGCAGUAAAGUCUGCGAGCGGCGGCGAAAGCCAAAGCAGGAACUGGUGAAAUUCCAGUACCGACAGUGAUAGUCUGGAUGGAAGAAGAGCUAG